rnacentral:rRNA from 1 species
GCGCACGCUGGCGGCAGGCCUCACCCCUGCCAGUCGAACGAACUCUUCGGAGUUAGUGGCGGACGGGUGAGUAACACGUGGGAACGUGCCUUUAGGUUCGGAAUAACUCAGGGAAACUUGUGCUAAUACCGAAUGUGCCCUUCGGGGGAAAGAUUUAUCGCCUUUAGAGCGGCCCGCGUCUGAUUAGCUAGUUGGUGAGGUAAAGGCUCACCAAGGCGACGAUCAGUAGCUGGUCUGAGAGGAUGAUCAGCCACAUUGGGACUGAGACACGGCCCAAACUCCUACGGGAGGCAGCAGUGGGGAAUCUUGCGCAAUGGGCGAAAGCCUGACGCAGCCAUGCCGCGGGAAUGAUGAAGGUCUUAGGAUUGUAAAAUUCUUUCACCGGGGACGAUAAUGACGGUACCCGGAGAAGAAGCCCCGGCUAACUUCGU